AUUGAACGCUGGCGGCAGGCUUAACACAUGCAAGUCGAGCGGAGAGAGGUAGCUUGCUACUGAUCUUAGCGGCGGACGGGUGAGUAAUGCUUAGGAAUCUGCCUAUUAGUGGGGGACAACAUUUCGAAAGGAAUGCUAAUACCGCACACGUCCUACGGGAGAAAGCAGGGGAUCUUCGGACCUUGCGCUAAUAGAUGAGCCUAAGUCGGAUUAGCUAGUUGGUGGGGUAAAGGCCUACCAAGGCGACGAUCUGUAGCGGGUCUGAGAGGAUGAUCCGCCACACUGGGACUGAGACACGGCCCAGACUCCUACGGGAGACAGCAGUGGGGAAUAUUGGACAAUGGGCGUAAGCCUGAUCCAGCCAUGCCGCGUGUGUGAAGAAGGCCUUAUGGUUGUAAAGCACUUUAAGCGAGGAGGAGGCUACUUUAGUUAAUACCUAGAGAUAGUGGACGUUACUCGCAGAAUAAGCACCGGCUAACUCUGUGCCAGCCGCCGCGGUAAAAC
rnacentral:rRNA from 1 species